rnacentral:rRNA from 1 species
CUGGGGUUAGAUACCCCACUAUGCCCAAUCGUAAACCCUACUCUAUAUAAGUAACGCCAGGAAAUUACGAGUCGAACUUAAAAUCCAAAGGACUUGACGGUGCCCUGACCACUAAAGGAGCCUGCUCUAUAACCGAUUCUGACCGUUAAACCCGGCCAUUUCUUGCUAAUCAGCUUGUAUACUUCCGACUUAGAUACUCACCGUCAAUACGAACUAGAGUGGGCACAAUGUUCUCCUCAACAGAACGUCAGGUCAAGGUGCAGCCUAUGAAGUGGCAAAGGGUGGGCUACAAUCUCUAACAUAGAACAUACGGAACCCUGCAUGAAAACCCAGGAGAGAAGGUGGAUCUAGAAGUAAAAAGAAAUUAGAGUGUUCUUUUAAAACUCAAACGUCAGGGCGCGUACACACCGCCG